GCCCAGGUGGUGGAAAUGGUAGACACAAGGGACUUAAAAUCCCUCGAACCUAGUUCGUACCGGUUCAAGUCCGGUCUUGGGCACCA
rnacentral:tRNA from 2 species